AGCUAAUAAUUAUAAAGGAACUUAGUAAAUUAAUUAUAUAACUUUAGAAUAAGGAAGUUUUAUUAGUCUUAAUUAAUAUUAAGUAAAAAGGAAAAAGUAUAAAAUAGUAUUAUAUAACUAUUUAAUUAAAAUAUAGUACUUUACUUAAAGAUUAAAAAUCUAAGUAUUAAGUAUAAUAUCUACCUAAUCCUAGUUAGUUAAUAGAUAUAAUUAAAUUUAUUAAGAAAGUUUAGUAUUAAUGGAACCCCUAGUUAAUAGUAGCCUUAACAUAAGGGUCCUAAGGUAGUAAAAUACCUUAGCUAUUAAAUGCGGUCUUAUAUAAAUAAUUUAAUAAUAUAAUAGCUGUCUUUAUAAUUAACU
rnacentral:ncRNA from 1 species